UUGUAUACCUCAAUUAGAUUCU
rnacentral:miRNA from 1 species